CGAUAGGGUUCUUUAUUCUAUGGCGAUAGCGUGCUGAACUAGCAACUGGAACGAUGCUUGUGUCGCGGCGUGUUGACGAAGCCCUUACGAGAAAGCGACGGCAUCGUAAAAGGAAAAGCCUGUCUAAUGGGGACGAAGUAGUUCAGAUGUUUGCAUUUGGCACAUCAACGUGGCACACAAGUGAGGCCUGUUUUGCCAAGUGGUGCAGAAUUCACGCUACCAGCUCCACUACAGUGUCAGCAUUGAAAUGUCGAGCACCAACCUAGUAUGCCUUCAGUGACCACGGUUUCGCUCAUGCCCUCCCCAUUGAGACUGCGGGGUGAUAAUUGGAUGCGAUCAAACGCCAUCUUCAUCAGAAAAGCCACACUCCUUGCACCAUUGCCUUAUGCUGUCCAACAUGAUGCAAUGCUGUAACUGAUGGUGAAAAAGCCACUGGUGUGUGCCUGACUCCUGGGCAGGCAGAUACCCUCCAGCUGUGGUGUUGCAUUGGCAUUCAUCGAACAUGCGACUACUGCAUGGACAAGAGUCUUGCGGUAAGCGUGUCGGAACUGUGAAGCCGAUGGGUUAUUGUUCCAUCCACCGCGCUGUCUGAUGCAGCUGAAGUACAUUUCCAGUGGGUCUUGGUUUAGGUGGCUGGUACAGAGGUACCUAUGAAGAAAAAUUAGACAAACUUCUGUUAAGAGAGACUUGUA
rnacentral:lncRNA from 1 species